rnacentral:lncRNA from 1 species
ACAACUGUUUCUGUGCAUGUAGCAGGUUCUUGUGAUACACCUCCAUCACCAUCACAUGUUCGAAGAUCAAUGCCUGCUGCUCAUGUAUGAGCUACUUGUGGUUAUAGAGGGCAACCGAUCGCUGGCCAGAGUGAUUGCCUAUGCUAUGAAGUGCAGUCAAUGCAAAGAAGUUACUCUUGGGGGCAAAGAGGACAAUCUGGCAGGACAAAACUGAGCUCUGAACCUUUCGUAAUUCAGGCCACCCGACAAGAACCAGCACGUUCCCGUCUGACAAUGACGUUAACUGCCUUUGGAGCAGCAGAAACAACCACGCUAGCCAAGCAGCGCUGUCUGCCAGCCUCAGAGAUACACACAUCGGAGUAUUCCUUCAGACACCUGCCAACCGUGAUCCAUCCCCUUCUGCCUCCCCUCCAGUGUUUUUAUUCAGCAGUUGUCACCAAGUCAAUGUGACGUGAAACAGGAGGGAGGAGAGGACCGUAUUCUGCCUAACCUGUUUGGUGUAUCCAUUGCUGUGACUGUACAGGAUAACUACAGCACGUUCUUCUUUCCAUCCUGCUGCUGCUUCUCUGAUCUUUGCUGUACAUCUUAGUAUCUGUUUAGCUGGAAACAAAUAAAUAGUUG